rnacentral:tRNA from 1 species
GGCACUGUGGCUAAGUGGUAAAGCGCUUGGCUUCCAAACCAGAGGAUCUCAGGCUCAAAUCCUGGUGAGGACU